rnacentral:rRNA from 1 species
AUGAAGACUCCCAUUGAAGUUCUCCUUAAUGAACAACCGGACUACACCUUUCUCAAGGUGUUUGGGUGUGCUUGCUGGCCCCAUCUCCGUCCAUAUAACAAGCGUAAGCUCGAGUUUCGUUCCAAGAAGUGUGUUUUUCUUGGUUAUAGCUCUCUUCAUAAAGGAUACAAAUGUCUUCAUGUGCCCACUAAUCGUGUCUACAUCUCUCGGGAUGUUGUGUUUGAUGAGCAUGUUUUUCCCUUUGCCAAACUCCCUGUGUCUACUACCGAGCCACCUGUCAUGCAUUCAUCCUCUGUUGCUUCUGACCAAUUUGAUGAUGUUGCAUAUUCUCCUCUAUUGUUGCCUAACCAUGGUGCAGGCACUGGUCGUGGGGCUCGUUUGGAGAUUCUGGAAGUGCCAUCUUCCUCUUCGUCGACAUCGCCUUCAUCCUCGGCACCUUCUGUUGUGCAUGAGAAGCACAUGGCGCCCCUGCAUGGCCUUGGUUUCCGUGCUCAUGCACGGCCGAUCGAUGUCCUGGCCCGGUCGCCUCUGGCUUCUGGGCUGCCUUCGCCAUCGUCGCGCCCUGCAACCCCGCCGACUGGGCCGGCCUCCUCGGUCCCCGUCUCGCCCAGGGCGUCGGGGCAGUCAUCACCAGGCCUGGCCUCGCCCGCCCCCGCCUCGCCAAGGCCGUCUGGGCCGGUGUCACCGGAGCUGGCCUCGCCCACUCUCGGUUCGCCCAUGGCCUCUGAGCCCCUGUCGUCGGGCCAGUCUUCGCCAUGCAGCCCGGAGUCGUCUGUCCCGAGCUCGCCAGAGGUGAUUCCUGCAUCUCCGGCGACCGUCACGUCUCCGUCACCUUCGCCUCCGCCGGCUCCUGCUGCUGCUCUACGUCCACAUACGCGCAGUCGGAGUGGCAUUUUUCAGCCUAAGCAACGUCACGAUGGCACAGUUGCUUGGUUAGCGGCGUGCAUGUCUGCUGCUCUCGCAGAUCCAUCCUCUGAGCCACGCACGUAUCAAGCUGCUAUGCGCAUUCCUCAUUGGAGAGAGGCCAUGGAGCAGGAGUAUCAAGCGCUUCUUCGCAAUCAGACAUGGACUCUUGUUCCUCCACAAUCACGGGUAAAUGUCAUUGAUUCCAAAUGGGUUUUCAAAGUGAAGAGGCAUUCUGAUGGGUCCAUUGAGCGCUAUAAGGCUCGUCUGGUUGCUCGUGGUUUUCGCCAGCGUUUUGGACUUGACUAUGAAGACACCUUCAGUCUAGUGGUCAAGCCUACUACCAUCAGACUUCUUCUCUCUCUGGCUGUUACUCGAGGUUGGUUUCUUCGUCAGCUUGAUGUUCAAAAUGCUUUUCUUCAUGGUGUCUUGGCGGAGGAGGUUUACAUGCGCCAGCCUCCGGGUUUCUCUGAUCCGGAUCGCCCCGAUCAUCUCUGUCGUCUGUCCAAGGCAAUUUAUGGUCUGAAGCAGGCUCCUCGUGCUUGGCAUGCUCGUCUUGCAAUGGCUCUUCGUGCUCAUGGUUUUGCAUCAUCAACUGCUGACUCCUCAUUGUUUCUUCUUCAAAGGCCUGAGGUUACUAUGUACUUGUUGGUCUAUGUAGAUGAUAUCAUUUUGGUCAGCUCCUCUCAGUCGGCUGCUACUGCGCUUGUUCGCUCACUUGGUGCUGAUUUUGCGGUCAAGGACCUUGGGAAGCUUCAUUACUUUCUUGGUGUGGAGGUUACUUCUCGUGAUGCUGGCCUUGUUAUGACGCAGAAGAAGUACUCUCUGGAUUUGUUGCAGCGAGCUGGGAUGCUUAAGUGCAAACCAACGACUACACCCAUGUCUACCACUGAUAAGCUCAAUGCUGUUGAUGGUGUGCUUCUUUCUUCUUCUGAUGCGACAGAGUACAGGAGUAUUGUUGGUGGGCUCCAGUACUUGACGAUCACGCGACCAGACAUUUCCUAUGCUGUUAACCGAGUCUGCCAGUAUCUGCAGUCACCCCGUGACACUCAUUGGUCUGCUGUUAAGCGGAUUUUGCGCUAUAUUCGUUUCACGGUGGCUCAUGGUUUGCAUAUUCGGCCGUCUGACUCUGGUUGUCUUUCAGCAUAUUCUGAUGCAGACUGGGCUGGCAAUCCGGAUGACAGGCGAUCCACGGGGGGUUAUGCUGUCUUCUUUGGCUCUAACCUGAUUGCCUGGAGUGCUCGGAAACAGGCUACUGUCUCGCGUAGCAGUACUGAGGCUGAGUAUAAGGCUGUGGCCAAUGCCACAUCAGAGAUCAUCUGGGUACAGUCCUUGCUUCAGGAGUUAAGUAUACCCCAAUCACAGCCUCCUGUUCUUUGGUGUGAUAACAUCGGUGCUACAUACCUUUCUGCAAAUCCGGUAUUCCAUGCCCGAACGAAACACAUUGAAGUUGACUAUCACUUUGUGCGUGAACGUGUCUCUCAGAAGCAACUACAGAUCAAGUUUAUUUCUUCCAAGGAUCAACUUGCUGACAUCUUCACCAAGCCAUUGCCUUUGCCACAGUUUGAGACUUGCAGGCGCAAUCUUACCCUUCUAGAUUCAUUAGAAAGUGGCUAA